rnacentral:rRNA from 1 species
AGUAGUUUGAUCAUGGCUCAGAACGAACGCUGGCGGCAUGCCUAACACAUGCAAGUCGAACGAGACCUUCGGGUCUAGUGGCGCACGGGUGCGUAACGCGUGGGAAUCUGCCCUUUGCUUCGGAAUAACAGUUAGAAAUGACUGCUAAUACCGGAUGAUGUCUUCGGACCAAAGAUUUAUCGGCAAAGGAUGAGCCCGCGUAGGAUUAGGUAGUUGGUGGGUAAAGGCCUACCAAGCCGACGAUCCUUAGCUGGUCUGAGAGGAUGAUCAGCCACACUGGGACUGAGACACGGCCCAGACUCCUACGUGAGGCAGCAGUGGGGAAUAUUGGACAAUGGGCGCAAGCCUGAUCCAGCAAUGCCGCGUGAGUGAUGAAGGCCUUCGGGUCGUAAAGCUCUUUACCAGGGAUGAUAAUGACAGUACCUGGAGAAUAAGCUCCGGCUAACUCCGUG